UACGAAGGGGGCUAGCGUUGUUCGGAUUUACUGGGCGUAAAGCGCACGUAGGCGGAUCGUUAAGUCAGGGGUGAAAUCCUGGAGCUCAACUCCAGAACUGCCUUUGAUACUGGCGAUCUUGAGUCCGGAAGAGGUGAGUGGAACUCCUAGUGUAGAGGUGGAAUUCAUAGAUAUUAGGAAGAACACCAGUGGCGAAGGCGGCUCACUGGUCCGGUACUGACGCUGAGGUGCGAAAGCGUGGGGAGCAAACAGG
rnacentral:rRNA from 1 species